UACGGAGGGUGCAAGCGUUGUCCGGAUUUAUUGGGCUUAAAGGGUGCGUAGGCGGAUGAUUAAGUCAGUGGUGAAAGCCCCCAGCUCAACUGUGGAACUGCCAUUGAUACUGGUUAUCUGGAGUAUAGAAGAGGCAGGCGGAAUUUACGAUGUAGCGGUGAAAUGCAUAGAUAUCGUAAAGAACACCGAUAGCGAAGGCAGCUUGCUAAACUAUAACUGACGCUGAGGCACGAAAGCAUGGGGAGCUAACAGG
rnacentral:misc_RNA from 1 species